rnacentral:rRNA from 1 species
UACGUAGGGUGCGAGCGUUAAUCGGAAUUACUGGGCGUAAAGCGUGCGCAGGCUGUUCUGUAAGUCAGAUGUGAAAUCCCCGAGCUCAACUUGGGAACUGCGUUUGAAACUACAGGACUAGAAUAUGUCAGAGGGGGUAGAAUUCCAACGUGUAGCAGUUGAAAUGCGUAGAGAGUGUGGAGGAAUACCAAUGGCGAAGGCAGCCCCCUGGGAUAAU